rnacentral:pre_miRNA from 1 species
UGGACAGAUUAUUGUAUUCAACUAUAUUUGACUGUAUUCACGGCGUGAAACGGGAGAUUACACUGUUUUUAAACGGAAAGUAAAUCAAUUAACAUAAUAGACUCCU